UACGUAGGGUGCGAGCGUUGUCCGGAAUUAUUGGGCGUAAAGAGCUCGUAGGCGGUUUGUCGCGUCGUUCGUGAAAACUCCACGCUUAACGUGGAGCGUGCGGGCGAUACGGGCAGACUUGAGUUCGGUAGGGGAGACUGGAAUUCCUGGUGUAGCGGUGAGAUGCGCAGAUAUCAGGAGGAACACCGGUGGCGAAGGCGGGUCUCUGGGCCGAUACUGACGCUGAGGAGCGAAAGCGUGGGGAGCGAACAG
rnacentral:rRNA from 1 species